rnacentral:rRNA from 1 species
CUUGUGGAUAGCGGUGAAAUUCCAAUCGAACCCGGAGAUAGCUGGUUCUCCUCGAAAUAGCUUUAGGGCUAGCCUCAAGCGUAGAGAAACGGAGGUAGAGCACUGAAUGUCCUAGGGGGUAUUGCACUUACCGAAGACUAUCAAACUCCGAAUGCCGUAUUCUUUUGCUUGGGAGUCAGACUAUGGGUGAUAAGAUUCAUAGUCAAGAGGGCAACAGCCCAGAUCGUCAGCUAAGGUCCCUAAAUGUAAGUUAAGUGGUAAAGGAUGUGGAAUUGCACAGACAACCAGGAUGUUGGCUUAGAAGCAGCCACUCAUUUAAAGAGUGCGUAAUAGCUCACUGGUCGAGUGAUUCUGCGCCGAAAAUUUCCGGGGCUAAAACUUACUACCGAAGCUACGGCAUCAUUAUGAUGGGUAGGGGAGCUUUCUAUACGGGUUGAAGCAUGACCGUAAGGACAUGUGGACUGUAUAGAAGUGAGAAUGUUGGCAUGAGUAGCGAGAUGUGGGUGAGAAUCCCACAGGCCGUAAACCCAAGGUUUCCAGGGGAAGGUUCGUCCGCCCUGGGUUAGUCAGGACCUAAGCCGAGGCCGAAAGGCGUAGGUGAUGGACAACAGGUUGAUAUUCCUGUACCACCAAUAACCGUUUGAGAAAUGGGAUGACACAGUAGGAUAAGCUAACCGCACUGUUGGUUAUGUGCGGGCAAGUAUUGAGGCAGUUCCGAUAGGCAAAUCCGUCGGAAUAAUGCUGGGGUACGAUGCGGAGCGAAAUUAAGUAGCGAAGUAGCUGAUUUCACACUGUCGAGAAAAGUCUCUAUCGAGGUUAAAGGUGCCUGUACCGCAAACCGACACAGGUGGGUGAGGAGAGUAUCCUAAGGCCAGCGAGAGAACUGUUGUUAAGGAACUCGGCAAAAUGACCCCGUAACUUCGGGAGAAGGGGUGCCUUCGAAAGAAGGCCGCAGAGAAUAGGCCCAAGCGACUGUUUACCAAAAACAUAGGUUUCUGCUAAGUCGCAAGACGAUGUAUAGGAGCUGACGCCUGCCCGGUGCUGGAAGGUUAAGGGGAUCUGUUAGAGCAAUCGAAGCAGUGAACUUAAGCCCCAGUAAACGGCGGCCGUAACUAUAACGGUCCUAAGGUAGCGAAAUUCCUUGUCGGGUAAGUUCCGACCCGCACGAAAGGCGUAACGAUUUGGGCACUGUCUCAACAACAGACUCGGUGAAAUUGUAAUACCGGUGAAGAUGCCGGUUACCUGCGACAGGACGGAAAGACCCCAUGGAGCUUUACUGUAGCUUGACAUUGAGUCUCGGUGCUACAUGUACAGGAUAGGUGGGAGGCUAUGAAGCAUGGACGUCAGUUUGUGUGGAGCCAUCCUUGGGAUACCACCCUUGUAG